GUCUUCAGCUGCUCUAUUUUCCUGUACCUCAACUGGAGCCGACGUUAUCAGAGCACCACCUGCUACCACCGCUGCAGCUGAGGCUCUGUCAGCAGUUCCAGAGCAGCUGGGAAGCUCCCCCUGGGCCAGAACAAACCAAGUCCACGCAAUGAAAGUACAUGUUUGAAGCUUGGAGCCUUUGACAGUUCUGCAUAUUCAGAAUGAGCCUGAGCCCAUAAAAUGAAGAUUACUGGAACCACAGAAUAAGACAAUGUGCUCGUGAUGAAGAUACAAUUGCCCUUUCUGAAGGGCUUUGGAAUUUUCCAAAUGAGCUUAACCUACCUCAACCAUCAAAUAUUUAUGAGCACCUACUAUGUGCAAGGUAUUUUGCAAGAGGAGGUCAUUGUUAUGUGCUGCAGUAUCAUCAGAAUCAAAGAUAAACGAAGCACCUAAACCCUACAUGAGAAUUCAACAGGUCACAUGUCUUGAUGGCAAGAUAAAGCAACCUACCUCCAACCUGUAUCACCUACACAAUGGAUCCUUAUUGACUGUCAUCCAAGUGGGCCAGUUAACUAUAAGCCAAGGAACUAACUCCUUGCUUUGCUCUCUUAUCUGAACAUAUUAAGACAAAAGUAUUAAAAUGAAUUGCCAUCCUGGCUAAGUGGAGACAUUACAGUGACAUGAGUAAUAUUCCAAGUUGCUGCAAAAGGCUGCAGUGUUUGCUGAUUACUCUAUGGAUGUGCAAAGAUGGCUCCCAGGUGCUACUGCCAGGCAGCAGCCAUCAAGAUCUGACCAUCCAUGAUGAAGCAGCUGCAGCGUGUGGCAUCCUUCUCUGGGGGCUGUGUGGCUAUGAGAAAGACACGGAAGAAUCUGCAAAUGGCCCUUGUGUAGGAAGGAAAGUAAAGCAGAACCCCUGGGGGUUCUCAGGAUGUGA